GCUAAACAACUAGCUUAAUAACACAAACAGACAAAAAAUAUUAAAAUGUCUUAAAUAACUACAAUAACAUAAACUAAAACAUUCUACCGCCAAAGUAUGUGCGACAGAAAAGGCACACUAAAGCAAUAAACAAGUACCGCAAGGGAACGCUGAAAGAGAAGUGAAAUAAAUCACUUAAGCAUAAAAAAGCAGAGAUUAAACCUCGUACCUUUUGCAUCAUGAUUUAGCCAGCAUAUUUAAGCAAAAAGCAUUUUAGUUUAAAACCCCGAAACUAAGUGAGCUACCUCGAGGCAGCCUAUGCAUUAGGGCCAACCCGUCUCUGUGGCAAAAGAGUGGGACGACCUCCAGGUAGGGGUGACAGACCUACCGAACUUAGUGAUAGCUGGUUGCCUAGUAAAUGAAUAAAAGUUCAGCCUCAUGCUCCUCACAUCACAUACAUGUCUUAAACAAAGAACCAGAGAAAUACAUGAGAGUUAGUCAAAGGGGGUACAGCCCCUCUGAAACAGAAUACAACCUUACCAGGAGGUUAAAGAUUAUACUAAACAAAAUACCUGCUACAGUGGGCCUAAAAGCAGCCACCUGAACAGAAAGCGUUAAAGCUCUAGCAGAAAACAAUUUAUUAUUCAAAUAUUAAAAUCUAAAACCCCUAAACAUACUAGGCCGCCCCAUGCCCCCAUGGAAGAGAUACUGCUAAAAUGAGUAAUAAGAAGAUUAACCUUCUCCUAAAAGCCCAAGUGUAUGCUAGAUCGGAUAAACCACUAGCAAUUAUCGAGCUCAACUAAAGAGAGCAAUGUAAUAAUACUAAAAAUCAAGAAAUAACUACAACAUAACACCGUUAAACCCACACUGGAGGGCCGCCAACAAGGAAAGACUAGAAGAAAAGGAAGGAACUCGGCAAACACAAGCUUCGCCUGUUUACCAAAAACAUCGCCUCCUGCAAAACCCAACGUAUAGGAGGUCUUGCCUGCCCAGUGACAAGUUAAACGGCCGCGGUAUUCUGACCGUGCGAAGGUAGCGCAAUCACUUGUCUUUUAAAUGAAGACCUGUAUGAAUGGUAGAACGAGAGCUUAACUGUCUCCCUUUUCAGGUCAAUGAAAUUGAUCUGCCCGUGCAGAAGCGGACAUAGAAAUACAAGACGAGAAGACCCUUUGGAGCUUAAGAUAAAAGACCACCUAUGUCAAUAGAUAUACCUAAACUAAAUAGUGCCUGGUCCAAUUCUUCAGUUGGGGCGACCACGGGAGAAAACAAAGCUCCCAUGCGGAUAGGGGCCCAGCCCUAAAACCAAGAAAGACAUUUCUAAGACGCAGAACAUCUGACCAUAAAGAUCCGGCUUCCAGCCGAUCAACGGACCAAGUUACCCUAGGGAUAACAGCGCAAUCCCCUUUCAGAGUCCAUAUCGACAAGGGGGUUUACGACCUCGAUGUUGGAUCAGGACAUCCUAAUGGUGCAGCCGCUAUUAAGGGUUCGUUUGUUCAACGAUUAAAGUCCUACGUGAUCUGAGUUCAGACCGGAGCAAUCCAGGUCAGUUUCUAUCUGUAAUGCUACUUUUCCUAGUACGAAAGGACCGGAAAAUAGAGGCCAAUUUUACCAAAAAGCCUCACCCCAAACUAAUGAAAUCAACUAAAUUAGACAAAGGGAGAGCAAGA
rnacentral:rRNA from 1 species